UUACCAGGCCUUGACAUACUCGGCAAAGCGUCUAGAGAUAGAGUGGAGGUUAUCCGGGAUACAGGUGGUGCAUGGUUGUCGUCAGCUCGUGUCGUGAGAUGUUGGGUUAAGUCCCGCAACGAGCGCAACCCUUGUCUUUAGUUACCAUCAUUCAGUUGGGGACUCUAGAGAGACUGCCGGUAGAUAACCGGAGGAAGUGGGGAUGACGUCAAAUCAUCAUGCCCCUUAUGGCCUGGGCUACAAACGUAAUACAAUGGCGUAUACAAAGGGAUGCGAAAGGGCGACCUGGAGCAAAACUCACAAAGUAACGUCUCAGUUCAGAUUGGAGUCUGCAACUCGACUCCAUGAAGGCGGAAUCGCUAGUAAUCGCGGAUCAGCAUGCCGCGGUGAAUACGUUCUCGGGUUU
rnacentral:rRNA from 1 species